rnacentral:rRNA from 1 species
GUGGGGAAUAUUGGACAAUGGGCGCAAGCCUGAUCCAGCAAUGCCGCGUGAGUGAAGAAGGCCUUAGGGUUGUAAAGCUCUUUCGGCGGGGACGAUGAUGACGGUACCCGCAGAAGAAGCCCCGGCUAACUCCGUGCCAGCAGCCGCGGUAAUACGGAGGGGGCUAGCGUUGUUCGGAAUUACUGGGCGUAAAGGGCGCGUAGGCGGCGCGAUAAGUUGGGCGUGAAAGGCCCGGGCUCAACCCGGGGACUGCGCUUGAUACUGUCGCGCUGUGAGUCCGGGAGAGGAUGGCGGAAUUCCCAGUGUAGAGGUGAAAUUCGUAGAUAUUGGGAAGAACACCGGUGGCGAAGGCGGCCAUCUGGACCGGCACUGACGCUGAGGCGCGAAAGCGUGGGGAGCAAACAGGAUUAGAAACCCGUGUAGUCC